UCUGUCUGGUGUUGGGUAGAUCAUUGACUCCUGAGUGUCCUUCUUCUCCUCCAUAUCCUUCUAAACCAUUCACCUGAGGCUAAAUCCUUUGGCUCUUGUGAAGAAGGCUAGUGUUGUCAAGAAUGGUGUACCAUCACUGUUUCCUUGUUCCUGUCUCUUAAAGGUGUGGUUACGGUUGCCAAGGCAACAGGGUGAAUUAACUCAUCUCUGGUCCAUUGAUUGCUGUAAUUAUAUUUAUAAUCACUGGAGCCUCUCAAUGCUUAUCCUGUUCUUAUUGCAUGGGAAUAUUACCAGAAGAACAUGAAUAAUUCAUUUGUUAUUUAUGAUUGGGAAAAUGAAAGACUACUGAUAUCGGAGAGUUAAUAGACAUUCUUGAGACAAUUAGACCAUGUGAUCAAUUAAUGACAGUGUCUAGGUUAGUCAUGAUCCCUACCUACAAGAACCUCCGCAGCUGAAACUGUGUUUAUUGACUUGGGUGUGAUUAUCACCAGGACACGGAAGCAACAAUUUGCAGCAAAGAGCUCUGAUGUAGAGGCCCGUACAAGAAGCUAAUGGAUAGAGAAUGAGUCACUAUUGGUGAAUGGCUCCACUAAAGCUGCUGAAGAAUAGAUAAAUAGCUGAACACUAAAUAUGUGGUGUUAUUGUCUGAAUAUUUUUAUCACUGCGAAUAAUUGCAGGCCUCAAAUAUAUCCUAAUAAAUGUAUUAAACAGCUUUGUGUUUUGUUUGAUGGUAUUUUAAGGCAGUUUGUGAUCUACCCAGUAA